AUUGAACGCUGGCGGCAGGCCUAACACAUGCAAGUCGAACGGUGACAGAAAGCAGCUUGCUGCUUUGCUGACGAGUGGCGGACGGGUGAGUAAUGUCUGGGAAACUGCCUGAUGGAGGGGGAUAACUACUGGAAACGGUAGCUAAUACCGCAUAACGUCGCAAGACCAAAGAGGGGGACCUUCGGGCCUCUUGCCAUCGGAUGUGCCCAGAUGGGAUUAGCUAGUAGGUGGGGUAACGGCUCACCUAGGCGACGAUCCCUAGCUGGUCUGAGAGGAUGACCAGCCACACUGGAACUGAGACACGGUCCAGACUCCUACGGGAGGCAGCAGUGGGGAAUAUUGCACAAUGGGCGCAAGCCUGAUGCAGCCAUGCCGCGUGUAUGAAGAAGGCCUUCGGGUUGUAAAGUACUUUCAGCGGGGAGGAAGGGAGUAAAGUUAAUACCUUUGCUCAUUGACGUUACCCGCAGAAGAAGCACCGGCUAACUCCGUG
rnacentral:rRNA from 1 species